rfam:Myotis brandtii contig236737, whole genome shotgun sequence.
CAUGCACCAGUGGGGUCCCUUGGCCUGGCCUGCAGGAUCGGGCCAAAACCAGCUCUCUGACAUCCCUGAAGAGGUCCCAGAUUGUGAGAGGGUGCAGGCCAGGCCAAGGGACCCCACUGGUGCACA